rnacentral:rRNA from 1 species
UACGUAGGUGGCGAGCGUUGUCCGGAUUUACUGGGCGUAAAGGGAGCGUAGGCGGACUUUUAAGUGAGAUGUGAAAUACUCGGGCUCAACUUGAGUGCUGCAUUUCAAACUGGAAGUCUAGAGUGCAGGAGGGGAGAAUGGAAUUCCUAGUGUAGCGGUGAAAUGCGUAGAGAUUAGGAAGAACACCAGUGGCGAAGGCGAUUCUCUGGACUGUAAUUGACGCUGAGGCUCGAAAGCGUGGGGAGCAAACAGG